rnacentral:misc_RNA from 1 species
GGAAGGAUCAUUAACACGUUAUCCACGUAUCAACCAAUGAGAACCCGUUUUCAACCCUCUCUUCUGGAGAAUGAAUUGAGCUUGCUUAGAGUUAUUGGAAGGGAUGCUUGCGUCAGGCUCUACUCGCUACUUGUACAAUUUUUAGCACUUGUGUUAUUAGUUGUACUAACAGUUGUAUCUUUUGGAAGAUUCUAGUUCACUAUGUUCGGGUCUCCUUUCAUUGACUUUUUCUGUGAACAUAAAUUUACCCAUUUCACACCCUUUUUUGCUAGUUGACUUUUAUAUGUUGUACAUCUGUUUCGGCACUUGUGCACACGUUUAAUUAUUUGAACGUUAAAAAUACAACUCUUAGCAAUGGAUAUCUAGGUUCUCGCAACGAUGAAGAACGCAGCGAAAUGCGAUACGUAAUGCGAAUUGCAGAAUUCAGUGAAUCAUCAAAUCUUUGAACGCAAAUUGCGCUCUUGGGUAGCCCUAGGAGCACGCCUCUCUCAGUAUCGGUUCAAACAUCUCUCAGCAGCGUGUUGAAAUUUAUUUCAAUAUGCGAUGGCUGGAUAAUGAGAGUCUGAGUGCUUGCACGCAGUCUCUUUAAGUACAUGGAAUAAAUCUAACUAGCGAUCCACUUCUAUUCUUCGGGGUAGAUAGUCAGUUCUCAACUGUUGUUCGAUAGUGACGUGAAUAUUGGCCUUUAUUGGUCUUCUUUUUACGUGUAUCUAUUGAAUAAUAUUAAAAGUUGUCAUCCGGCGAACGUUUUGUAUAGGCGAUUUAUGUGAGCACUCCAUAUGAUUUAUAGUCGUGAAAAAGCUAUGGGUCUGAAUUUUGAUCUGAGAUGAAGCGAGACAACCCCCUGAAUUUAAGCAUAUUAAUAAGGGAGGAAAAGAAACUAACAAGGAUUCCCCCAGUAACGGCGAGUGAAGCGGGAAGAGCUCAAUUUGAAAAUCGAUUACCUAAACGGGUCAUCGAGUUGUAGCCUAUAGACGUACUAUCAGCUGAAACCUGGGUAUAAGUUCUUUGGAAUGAGACGCGAUUCAGGGUGAGAGCCCCGUUUACGAUCCAAAGCUUUCAGCGUACGAUGUAUGUUCAUCGAGUCGAGUUGUUUGGGAUUGCAGCUCUAAAUGGGUGGUAAGUUUCAUCUAAAGCUAAAUAAUGGCGAGAGACCGAUAGCGAACAAGUACCGUGAGGGAAAGAUGAAAAGAACUUUGAAAAGAGAGUUAAAAGUACUUGAAAUUGCUAAGAGGGAAGCGCUAGAAACCAGUGAUACGCUGAGUCAAUCGCUUUCGGCCCCACUAGGCAGCGUACGUAAUGGGCAACCUUGCGUGCGUUUCCGAAAGGGCGGUCGGGAGUUUAUGAUUUAGUGUCAGUCAAGAUCAAUUCGGAUUGUGGGAGAAGGUAGUGAGAAAGGUAGGAGGGCAACCUCUGUUAUAUUCUUAUUACUCUACCUCGGCCUGGAUUGAGGAAGUAAUGGUGCGCCGCUUGCGGCUUGGUCCUUCGUUCCUAUGGUCUCAUGUGUUCUGAUAGCAAUGCUAUCUCUAUAUUGAAGGGCUAUACUGGGCGGAGUGAUUCGAUGUGCCAUCACGAUCUUGUACGAAAUGGUUUUAUCGACCCGUCUUGAAACACGGACCAAGGAGUCUAACAUCUAUGCGAGUAUUUGGGUGCAAAACCCUGAUGCGUAAUGAAAGUAAAGGUAGACUUGUUCUACUGAGGUAGGAAUCCUGCAAGGGAGGCACUAUCGACCGAUCACAAUUUAUUGAAGAUUUGAGUAAGAGCAUAUCUGUUGGACCCGAAAGAUGGUGAUCUAUGCCUGAACAGGGUGAAGCCAGGGGAAACUCUGGUGGAGGCUCGUAGCGAUACUGACGUGCAAAUCGUUCGUCUGAUUUGGGUAUAGGGGCGAAAGACUAAUCGAACCAUCUAGUAGCUGGUUCCCUC